ensembl:lncRNA
GGAGUGCAUUGAUUUUAUUUGCAAAAAAAAGUAAAGGUAUUGAUUAGAAAUGCCUGUGGACAUUGAUCUAUUGCAGCAGCCUCAGAAAAUGGCAGAAGAAUACAUCAAAGGAAAAAAAGGGGAGGCAUGCAAUGCAACAAAAAAGCAUGGUAGGGAUGAAAAUGAAACCCUUCAUUUGUGGAAUUUGCAUUAGUAUUCAGAGCAAAGAAACCGAUGGAAAUUGAAAAGACACAAAACUUUUUAACAUGGGUAAAAAUGAAGGUUAGUUCCUACAUACAUGAAUUUUCACUUGUUUUGCCAUCCUAUUUUUUAUUUUUUAUUUUUUUAUUUUUUUAAAUGUGGUCUUUUUUUCAUCUUUUUUACUGCAUACCUUUUUGCAUACUCCCUCCAAACAGCGUGCAUGACAAAGCCUACUAAAAACCCAAGUAUGGCUUUGUUUGACAUUUAGUAACAAAUCCACAUUUUCAGCAAAAUGUAGCCAUUUGGAGGGGAAAACACAAGAUCAUAGCAACUGGUAAGUGAUAUCCAAAGAGAAGCAAAAAUGUUUAUUCUGUAACAUAAAUAUUAUUUUUAGAGUAGUGCUUGCAACCUCAUUCCUGCUGUGUGUUGCUUGUUAGCUUGCUAUAGUGUUUGAGGGUUGUGCUACUAACAGUUAAUCUUUCUAUUUGCAUAUGCAAGCAAACCGAUUGUGCAAAGUACAUAGGCUGUAUUUUGUGGCUUGUAAAUGCUGGUUCCCACAGACUUUGUGCAGAAGACAGAUGGCGCUGAGAGAAUCCUGAAUUUAUGGAAGAAUUCUGUAACAGCAAUUUAAUGUUGAAGUCAACUUGAAAGGGUUCACAUUGUAGAACAUUUCUGAGAGGUGGACAUAACUUAAUCGUUUGAAAAGCGAGGUGAUGCCUGUAAAGUCUUCAGUCUCUCUUACAGCCAGCAGAGGGCGACGCCUCUGGUUACAACAAGAAAUCUCUGGGAAAACAACCCUUUGGCUCCUUUGAUUGAUGAUCUCAGUAUUUAUUUAUUUAUUUAUUAACCUUUAUUUAACCAGGAAGAUCCCAUUGAGAUUAAAAACCUCUUUUUCAAGGGAGACCUGGCCAAGAUAGGCAGCAGCAGAUGUCUCACAGUUACAGAAAUUACUCAAACACAGGCAGCAACAACACACAUGCAACAAUAAGUGAA